rnacentral:rRNA from 1 species
UGGGGAAUAUUGCACAAUGGGCGAAAGCCUGAUGCAGCAACGCCGCGUGAGCGAUGAAGGCCUUCGGGUCGUAAAGCUCUGUCCUCAAGGAAGAUAAUGACGGUACUUGAGGAGGAAGCACCGGCUAACUCCGUGCCAGCAGCCGCGGUAAUACGUAGGGGGCUAGCGUUAUACGGAAUUACUGGGCGUAAAGGGUGCGUAGGUGGUUUCUUAAGUCAGAGGUGAAAGGCUACGGCUCAACCGUAGUAAGCCUUUGAAACUGGGAAACUUGAGUGCAGGAGAGGAGAGUGGAAUUCCUAGGGUAGCGGUGAAAUGCGUAGAUAUUAGGAGGAACACCAGUUGCGAAGGCGGCUCUCUGGACUGUAACUGACACUGAGGCGCGAAAGCGUGGGGAGCAAACA